rnacentral:sRNA from 1 species
ACAGUCUCCAGCCUGAAGCGGAAGUGGAGAAAAGAUGGAGGACCAUCAGCACGUGCCCAUCGACAUCCAGACCAGCAAGCUGCUCGAUUGGCUGGUGGACAGAAGGCACUGCAGCCUGAAAUGGCAGAGUCUGGUGCUGACGAUCCGCGAGAAGAUCAAUGCUGCCAUCCAGGACAUGCCAGAGAGCGAAGAGAUCGCCCAGCUGCUGUCUGGGUCCUGUGAGUGCUUAGGGGCUGUCACUGGAGUCCCCUCUUUGCUGAGGUAACAUUCACUACUUUCACUGCCUAAGAAUCCUGGACCUUCUCAAAGGCACAGAGGCCUCCACGAAGAAUAUUUUUGGCCGAUACUCUUCACAGCGGAUGAAGGAUUGGCAGGAGAUUAUAGCCCUGUAUGAGAAGGACAACACCUACUUAGGCUCCACAGCUGGGAACAAGUGGGGCUGGGAAGCUGACUUCGUGCUCUUCACCACCACAAAGGGUGUGUGUGCAUC